GAUGAACGCUAGCGGCAGGCUUAACACAUGCAAGUCGAGGGGUAUAGUUCUUCGGAGCUAGAGACCGGCGCACGGGUGCGUAACGCGUAUGCAAUCUACCUUUUGCAGAGGGAUAGCCCAGGGAAAUUUGGAUUAAUACCUCAUAGUAUGUGAGAAUGGAAUCAUUUUCACAUUAAAGUCACAACGGCAAAAGAUGAGCAUGCUUCCCAUUAGCUUGUUGGUAAGGUAACGGCUUACCAAGGCAACGGUGGGUAGGGGUCCUGAGAGGGAGAUCCCCCACACUGGUACUGAGACACGGACCAGACUCCUACGGAAGGCAGCAGUGAGGAAUAUUGGACGAUGGCGCAAGCCUGAUCCAGCCAUGCCGCGUGCAGGAUGACGGUCCUAUGGAUUGUAAACUGCUUUUGUACAGGAACAAACACUGGUUCGUGAACCAGCUUGACGGUACUGUAAGAAUAAGGAUCGGCUAACUCCGUGCCAGCCGCCGCUGUAAGAC
rnacentral:rRNA from 1 species